rnacentral:rRNA from 1 species
UACGGGGGGGGCAAGCGUUGUUCGGAAUUACUGGGCGUAAAGGGCUCGUAGGUGGCCAACUAAGUCAGACGUGAAAUCCCUCAGCUUAACUGGGGAACUGCGUCUGAUACUGGAUGGCUUGAGUUUGGGAGAGGGAUGCGGAAUUCCAGGUGUAGCGGUGAAAUGCGUAGAUAUCUGGAGGAACACCGGUGGCGAAGGCGGCUCUCUAGUACGGUACUGACGCUGAGACGCGAAAGCGUGGGGAGCGAACAGG